rnacentral:lncRNA from 1 species
CUAGUUCUGUGGGUUUACUAGAUUGUGUCAGUUCUACUUGUUGAGCUUCCUCAAGUUCAACUUUAGAGGCAUUAAUUCCUUCCUCAAGAAUUUUUUUUUCCAAAAAGACUAUCCUAAGGCUAACAAACACCUUUGUUCAUCAGUAAGAUAGAAAUAAUACUCCUUAGUUUCUUUGGGACACUCUAUAAAAAUAUAUUUGUCAGAUCUGGCUCUGAGUUUGUUUAUUUUCAAAAGUUUGACAUAAACUGGACACCCC